GAGAUCCACCGGCUUCUGCCUCCCGAGUGCUGGGAUUAAAGGUGUGGGCCAUCACUGCUGGCGGGCUUUCAUCCGGUCCCCAGAUGGAGGUGCUGUUUGGGGAAGCUGUGGACCCUUUAGGAAGUAGGAUCUUGUUGGAGGAGCAUUCACCCGUCCACUGAGCCACCAUUACUAAGUGUCUAUUAUAUACCUUGUGUGUGCAGCGAAAAGUUACAAAGAUAACGUAACAGGAAAAAGAAAAAACUUUGUCCCCUGGAGCAUCCACAAAGCAGGAUGAGGCACACAACCAAGCCAGUAAAUACAUAAGCUGACCACAGCCCCUUGGAGUCAGAGAGAAAUAAGACAGAGAAGACCGGACCUGGGAAAGCAGCAGAGAGGAUGCUGUCUGCUACCGGCUUGGGUUCCAGCCCCGAGGCCUGAAGGAAAGGGACAAGCAGAGGGUUAGCAUCCGGGGAGCCAAAGCCACUUCAGUUAGCUUCAACUGUCGACCGAGUCAUCUGAGAAGGGAGUCUCGUUGAGGGAAUGGACAGAUCAGAUUGGCUUCUGGGCAUGUCUGGGGGGGUUAUCUUGAUGGUUAAUUGAUGGAGGAGGGCCCCGCCCACUGUGGGCAACACUACUCCCUAGACGAGUAGUCCCGGGCUGUAGAAAAAGCCAGCGAAGCACAAGCCCAGGAGCGAACCAGCAAGCAGCGUUCUUCCGUGGUUUCUGCUUCAAGACCCUGCUGGAGUUCCUGUCAUGACUUCCUUCAGCGAUGGACUGUGAUGUGUCUGGAAGCACAACCCACACAGACCCUUCCUCCCCAAAGCGCUUUUGGUCAGAGUGUCUCAUCACAGCUGCGGACUGAAAGCAGGACAGCGGUAACUGAAGGACAUGGUGAAGACCCCUGUUAAACUCCACCAAUAACCCAAACCUAGACUUCUCUUGCAAGGCCACAGAGAAGCUUUCUACUGUUCAUGGACAAGGAUCUAGGACCCACAGCUGAGGACAACAGGGGACAGGUGGGCAGAUCGGCUGGCCUUGUCUCAGUGAGAACAUUAUCAGAAUAACACAGUGGCCUCGGUGUGCCCUGAGGUCCCUUGUGAGACCCUCUGACAGUGCCCAAAGUGGGUUUCCUAGGGCUGAAGGUCACAUCUGGAUUUUGUGGCAAGAGAUUUGGGGUGUCCGGGUUGAUGGGGUUUGGCUCAGAGAUGACAGUAUUGUGUACCCAUGUCCUUAGGAUGUUGGAGGUGAGAGAAAGGACUACUGAACAAGUGUCCUUCAGAGGCCCCCAGGAGAAGGCUUCUAAGAGCUCAUCUGCUGUGAUGGUUCUGUGCUCCAGCAUUCACUGGGCUUUCCUUUUCUUUUAUAACUUUAACUUUGAA